rnacentral:lncRNA from 1 species
UGGAUAUUACAAAUAGGUUUAUUUCCUAUUAAUAUAUUUGAUUAUUUUGAGGCCAUAGAAUAUGCAUAUUGAUGGGGGAAUUCUAAUUAUUUGAAUUCUCACAUUUGGAUUGGGCUACUGGAUUUUACUUGUAAUUGUAGAAGACUAUUUGAUGUGUAGAUGUAAAACUCAAGCCUAGGUUUAAGAUUUGAGUAGGGAUCUUUUGUCAUUGUUGAUGAAGCCACUAAUAAAUGUCAUAUUGAGUAAAGACUUCGAUCAUGAGAUGCUUACAUGAAUUAUCAUAU